GUUCGAGUUUAUCAUCUCCAUCUGUCUGUCAGCAUUUUGCCUGUAAAGCCAGUGUCUACAGUUCUCCUUCUCUGGUGCAGUUUGCGCAGGUUUUAUCACCACAGUCCUCUGAUUUCACGCGUUUUCAUGAUCUUAACAUCUCAGAGACAACUGUGGCAAGCAGCUCUUCCAUUCAUCAUCAGCCUGCAGACACUCCUCCACAAUACAGUGAAUCCAAAUAAAUAUGAAUAAGUGGGCUGUUACCUUAUGAAACAAAA